rnacentral:rRNA from 1 species
GACGAACGCUGGCGGCGUGCUUAAUACAUGCAAGUAGAACGCAGUUGCGAACGGGUGAGUAAUGCGUAGGUAACUGCCUCACAGCGGGGGAUAACUAUUGGAAACGAUAGCUAAUACCGCAUACUGUGUGAGGGCCCUGCGUUGCAUCAGCUAGUUGGUGAGGUAACGGCGCACCAAGGCGACGAUACAUAGCCGCCCGGAGAGGGUGAGCGGCCACACGUGGACUGAGACACGGCCCGGAAUCCUACGGAAGGCGGCGGGAGGGAGUCUUCGGCAAUGGACGGAAGGCGAACCGAGCAACACGGCGUGAGUGAGGAAGGUUUUCGGAUCGUAAAGCUCUGUUGUUCUAUAUGGGGUAGCUAACCAGAAAGGGACGGCUAACUACGUGCCAGCAGCCGCGGUAAUAC